rnacentral:lncRNA from 1 species
CUUCAUCUGGUGAAGCUUGGCUGGAUCGAACUAGUCGAUUUGAUGCUAGCUGUUUGUGGCCAUCUAUCAACACUUUUUUGGUCAAGUCUAUCAACACUUUCCCCUUACUAACUACACUUAAUAAGUAUGUUUAAUUCAAGGGCUUCAGCUGAUUUACUGUGUAUUGAAUGGUUCUAUCUCGGUAUCUGCGUUCAGAAAUAGCUCCGUUCGUCCAAUUCGCUGAAUAUUCACUCCACCCUAGUCGUAUCUGACUCGUCUUUGGUGAGUGAGGUCAUGCCAAUUCCAACGCAAACUAGUCGUAGCACUCAGUCGUGGUUCUCGAUUACUAGUAACUAAAUCAAAACCAUGUUUUUGGUGCUGUUAGGGAGAGAUCACUGGUUGUUCCUUCUAAGGUGCCCAAACACUGAUUAGCUGGACAUGACAGCAUGCACAAGAAUUUCCCCCUGUAGGAGCCUAGGAGCUUGUGGGGGUGGGCUCAGAAUAGUAGGCUGAACGAAUCUAUGAAGCCUUCUGAAG